GCUCUAAAGGAUAACAGCUCUGCUUU
rnacentral:tRNA from 1 species